UAGGGAAUCUUCCGCAAUGGACGAAAGUCUGACGGAGCAAUGCCGCGUGAGUGAAGAAGGUUUUCGGAUCGUAAAACUCUGUUGUUAGAGAAGAACAAGGAUGAGAGUAACUGCUCAUCCCCUGACGGUAUCUAACCAGAAAGCCACGGCUAACUACGUGCCAGCAGCCGCGGUAAUACGUAGGUGGCAAGCGUUGUCCGGAUUUAUUGGGCGUAAAGCGAGCGCAGGCGGGUCUUUAAGGCUGAUGUG
rnacentral:rRNA from 1 species